rnacentral:rRNA from 1 species
GACGAACGCUGGCGGCGUGCCUAAUACAUGCAAGUCGGGCGGAGCCCGAGGGGAGCUUGCUCCUUUUCGGGCUCAGCGGCGGACGGGUGAGUAACACGUGGGUAACUUGCCCGCAAGACGGGGAUAACUGGCGGAAACGUCAGCUAAUACCGGAUAGGUCAUCGGAGGGGCAUCCUUCUGAUGGGAAAGGCGGAGCAAUCUGCCGCUUGCGGAUGGGCCCGCGGCGCAUUAGCUGGUUGGCGGGGUAACGGCCCACCAAGGCGACGAUGCGUAGCCGACCUGAGAGGGUGACCGGCCACACUGGGACUGAGACACGGCCCAGACUCCUACGGGAGGCAGCAGUAGGGAAUCUUCGGCAAUGGGCGCAAGCCUGACCGAGCAACGCCGCGUGAGUGAGGAAGGCCUUCGGGUCGUAAAGCUCUGUUGCCAGGGAAGAAUUCCUUCAUGUCAACUGCAUGGAGG